ACCCAACCUACUCUGCGAAAAACAAUUCAAAUGAACAACACUAAAUAGGGAUCUCCUAUCCCGGAACACUCGAUCCCGCUGAGUGAGUCACAUAACAAACCGAACCAAUCAGGUGAUUCGAAGCAGUUGAGCGCUUCAAACGUCACUGAAGUGGUUCAAACGUCAAGAGUCACGUGACCAAACCACGCCUCGGCACAGUGGCUCGAUACGUUUGCUUCAUGAGCUACAGCGCAUGUGUCGAAGCCUCGGGUGUCAGAGGACCAUCACUACUGGUAGCGUCUCUGGCUGCUGUUGACCUUGUUUUUGGAGUAAAACACGGUGGAAGCUGAAUUAGUGAGGAUGACUCCUGCUCCUGUCAUCUCUAAGCUCCUCACACAUCUUUACCUGCACAUGAGGAAAAUCACUCCUGUAGAAUGCAGAUGUUCAGAGGGAGAUGAUGCCACAUCUGGUCCAGCUGAUGGAAGGUCUUGAAGUUCUCUGACUGGCCUGGACUGAAGAUGGUCGUCUCACUGGAUUUAAGGUUCAGAUGCUCAGUAACAAACUCCACCAAUGUGCCAACAGGGAAGCUUUAGGUUUAUUAAAUGUUGCUAUGAAGGUUUUGCUGUUUUUCUUUGUGAAUGCAAUGUGCUCCAACUGAAACUUGAAUUAGAUCUUAGAAGUAAACCCUUCCAUCUGAAAGGAUUUAGUUGCAUUAAUAACCUCAUAACAUUCUAAUUUUUAUUCCAGUCUUGGUUGGAAAUAGAAUCUCUGUAUUGAUUCAGGUAAAAACUGAACUUCACAGCAUGUUGGAGCAAAACAACCAGAUGAAAACUGUGAUGGUGUUGGAUUGUCAGACUGUAAUGUUGCAGCUCAAAGCAGCUUUUCUGUCUCAGUUCAUUCUGACAUUCAGCUAUGAAUCAACACAGCAGAUGGUGAUCCAUGCUGUGGAAGUCUCACAUCUCCUGAUUUAAUGGAGCUGCUUUGCACUUUUUACACUGUUUAUUCACCAACACUUUAUUUAAUAAAAGUCCCAUCUAGUUUUUAUGAGGAAUGUGAUGUUUUAAUUUCUCUGUGAAUAACUGCAGUCUAAUGCAACAGCUGGAGUUGUAACAUCUGUCCUGAUACUGAUCAUGAAGUAUUGAUCAGAAUACUUAUGGUCAGCAGUCAUCCCUGAAGUUUUACAUUAAAAUCUUUACUUGUGUUGUGAACUUUGGUAAGAAGCAGAAAUGUUAGUGUUGCCAUGGAUACAUGAGUGUUAAAUUCUGUCCAUGUUUCCAUUUUGGGAAAUUCAGUCCAGCAGAUGAGUUUGUUUUUAGUGCCGGCUACCAUUCAGUCUGAGAUAUUAAGAGUAAAUAAAUGUGCAUAAUGUGGAAAUGAACAGAUUUUAUUUUUAUUUUUUCCUACAGCUGCUGCAUGUAAAGUUCCAAAAUGUGGAGGAAUUUAGUCUCACAAUCACAGACAAUAUAUAUUAUCUGAAAAUCAAGUUAUUGUUGUUUAUCAGCACAAUACAGAAAGAUUCAUGUUAGAAAUAUUCCAGUUAAGACUCUAGAAUAUCAUGAUUUAUGUAAAUUUACCUCAAUAAUAUGAAUGUUCAGGUUAAGAUUGUACAGUGAUAUUUAUUAUGCAAGUUUAGCUGAUUAAAGUUUAUUACUCUGCACUAAAAUAUUAUUUAAAUUGACAUCAUUAUUAUAAUAUUUAGGGUCAGACUCUACAGUAUUGAGAUUAAGAAAUCAAAUAUUCUAUAAAAUGUAAAUACACUGAACUCAUUUGGAUAUAUUUUAGUGAGACUCUACAAUAUUAUUUGACACAAAUCUAUCUAAAUCAAAAUUUUAAUAAUUUUCACACCAAACAUUUACUGGACUGAUUUAAAUAUUAAAAUCACUCCUUUCUAAUCCUCUGCUGCACGUUCAAACCUGAGGCCUUAAAUAGAAACACACAAGUAUCUGAUUGAAGGAACUUCUGCAGAGUCCUGGUUCCAGAACAUGAUGAUAGAAUUAUAGACAAACUUUAACAAAAGCUGCCUGAGAGUUUACAGGUUUUUAUGUUAGAUUUCUUCAGUAAUUUAAUGAGAGUUAUCAGAAAAAAUCAAGUGUUCAUUUGAUGAACUUCAUUUCCUAAAACAUCCAGAAUUGGAGCUCAUAUCUUUGGCAGCUGUAAAGUUUCUGCUCCUUCAAAGCUCACAACACAAUGAAUGAAUUCCUAAAACACUCUCAAUGCUGGAGAGCGUUUGUGAUGCUGAAGCAGUGACCAGUUUUUCUGUUUCUUCUCUGGAGAUGCACAAUGAGGGACGUCUGCAGCGACUGAGAAAGAGUCUCACCACAUCCUGACGUGAGGAAAAAGACUUUAUUGAAGACUACAAUGAGAAAAACUAUCAGACAGCAGACGGCUGCAUUCAAGGCUACAGGAGGAGUCCUACGAGGACGAGCCGGUCCACCUGAUGGUGGCCAGUCGCUGCGGUUCAAAGCCAACUCCGACUACGUGGACUUCUACUGGACCACAUGGAGGCCUUCAAACCGGACCGACAAGUUGAGCGACUCCCCGACUCGUGGGUCUGAGGACGCCGUCGAGCCUCGGUCCAGCUGGCCGUCUGUCUGUGGGUGUUUGAGUGCUGAGAGGUUUGUGGAUCCAUGUGAACGUUCUGUGUUGAAACAGCAGCUUUGGACUCAGUAACGCCGGGAAAAACCAAGAGCUCCUUUAUUUGUGACUUCCACUAAAAAAACUGAUGAAAAUAAUUUUGCCAGGGUUCUGACUGAUAACAGAUUAUUAAAUAAUGAAAAUAAUCGUUUAAAUGUUCCUUUAAACAAUCCUUUUAGGUCUACACUUCCUUUACACUGAUUUCUUGGUAUAUGUACAAGUAUUUUGGGUGGAAUAUACCAUUAAGCCCAAUGUUCAAGGGUUCUUCUGGGAAUAUACCAUUUAACCAACCUUUUAGGUAAAUGUUCCAGGAUGUUGGGUAGAAUAUACCAUCAGAUAAACCUUUUAGGUCUACAUUGGAAGAUUUUAGAGUAGAAUACUACUCCAAACCAUCCUUUAGGUCUACAUUUAAGGUGGAAUACUCCUUUACACCAAGAUUUUUGGUCUACGUUGAAGGAUUUUAGGUGAAAUAUUCCUUUGAACGAACUUUUUAAGUUUAUGUUCAAGGAUGUUGGGUGGAAUAUACCAUCAGACCAACCUCCAAGGUCUACAGUAGUGAAUUUUAGGUGGAAUAUACCAUUAAACUCACCUUUUAGGUCUCCAUUGGAGGAUUUUAGGUGGAAUUUUCUUCCAAACAGUCUUUUAAUCUACAUUUAAGGAUGUUUAGUAUGGUAUAUUCUUCCAAACCAACUUCUCAGGUCUACAUUUCAGGUGGAAUAUUCCUCCAUACUAACUUUUUUGGUCUACAUUGAAGGAUUUUUUUCUAAACCACCCUUUCAGGUCUAUAUUUGAGGUUUUAGGUGGAAUAUUCCUUUUAACCAGCCCUUCAGGUCUCUGAGGAUUUUGGAUGGAAUACUCGGUUAAAGCAACAUUUUAGGUGCAUGUCCAAGGAUUUUUGGGGGAAUGUUCCUUUAAGGUGGAUGUUUGAGGACCUUGUAGGUGGAAUACUUCCUGAAACCAACCUUUUAGGUCAACAUUCAAAGAUUUAAGGUGGAAUAUUCCUUUAAACCAACCUAAAUUUCAUGUUUUGAUCAUUAUCAAGUGAGAAACCUCAAUCCAGACUCCUCAUAAUGACGUUUGAGAUUUAUGCUGCUGUUACUUGUUUAGUCCAGACUAAAUGACAGAAAUCCACAACUGUAAUUUUAUUUCAGGACUCAGUUAUUAAAUGUCAAAACAAUCUAUGUGACUCUAAAAAUUCAACAGCUUUACAAACUCUAACAUUAAACUCUCCACAAGGAUCCAAAAUAAGUUGGACUUCUACAUGAGAGCUUUAAUUAUUCUUCAUCUACCUCCUGAACAGUUUGGUCAAUAAAAAAGACAAAAACUAAUAUUUUCAGCUGAACUAAAGACAGACUGUGAUUUUUCUGCUCACAUGUUGUUGUUGUAAACUUAUUCUUUCAAAUAAAUAUCCUCCUAACCCCCUGGAAACCAGCGUUUGUCCUGU